rnacentral:rRNA from 1 species
CGGGCCCCCAGGCGUAGCAGAAGAGCCAUGCCGAGGGGAAACAGGUUAAUAGUCCUGUGCUCCUUAAAUGAACGAACGAGGGACGGAGAAGGUUAGGUAGGCCUGGCGAAUGGUUGUCCAGGUUAAAGUAUGUAGUUAGUAAUGAUAUGCAAAUCCGGUAUUCUGUUGAUCUGAGAUAAGAGACGAAGUUAAACUUGUUUGACUAAGAUAUUUUUACCAUGCUUCCAG